GCGCGUACACACGGCCCGUUACUCUUACCGAGCCAUACUCAUACAAUACAUAAAAAAUUUUUCUCGGUAAAGGGGAGGCAAGUCGUAACAUGGUAAGUGUA
rnacentral:rRNA from 1 species